AGAGUUUGAUCCUGGCUCAGAAUCAACGCUGGCGGCGUGCCUAACACAUGCAAGUCGAACGAGAAAGGGUAGCAAUACCUGAGUAAAGUGGCGCACGGGUGAGUAACACGUGACUAACCUACCCUGGAGUGGGGGAUAACUGAGGGAAACCUUAGCUAAUACCGCAUAAUACCUACGGGUCAAAGGAGCAAUUCGCUUCAGGAGGGGGUCGCGGCCGAUUAGUUAGUUGGCGGGGUAAUGGCCCACCAAGACAGUGAUCGGUAUCCGGCCUGAGAGGGCGCACGGACACACUGGAACUGAAACACGGUCCAGACUCCUACGGGAGGCAGCAGUGGGGAAUUUUGCGCAAUGGGGGAAACCCUGACGCAGCAACGCCGCGUGGAGGAUGAAGUCCUUCGGGACGUAAACUCCUUUCGAUCGGGACGAUUAUGACGGUACCGGAAGAAGAAGCCCCGGCUAACUUCGUGCCAGCAGCCGCGGUAAUACGAGGGGGGCGAGCGUUGUUCGGAAUUAUUGGGCGUAAAGGGUGCGUAGGCGGUUCGGUAAGUCUUGUGUGAAAUCUUCGGGCUCAACUCGAAGUCUGCACGAGAAACUGCCGGGCUUGAGUGUGGGAGAGGUGAGUGGAAUUUCCGGUGUAGCGGUGAAAUGCGUAGAUAUCGGAAGGAACACCUGUGGCGAAAGCGGCUCACUGGACCACAACUGACGCUGAGGCACGAAAGCUAGGGGAGCAAACAGGAUUAGAUACCCUAGUAGUCC
rnacentral:rRNA from 1 species